GCCUCACUCCUUCACUAGAUGUUUACGUGCGUCACCCCUUAUCCCUGCAAGUGUGACAGCUACAGGUAUGACAGUUACAGGUAAAACAGCUGCAGGUGUGACAGCUACAGGUAAAACAGUGCUGCAGGUGUGACAGUUACAGGUAAAACAGCUGCAGGUGUGAGAGCUACAGACAAAACAGUGCUGCAGGUGUGACAGUUACAGACAAAACAGCUGCAGGUGUGACAGCUACAGGUAAAACAGUGCUGCAGGUGUGACAGCUACAGGUAAAACAGCUGCAGGUGUGACAGUUACAGGUAAAACAGUGCUGCAGGUGUGACAGUUACAGGCAAAUCAGCUGCAGGUGUGACAGCUACAGGUAAAACAGCUGCAG